rnacentral:rRNA from 1 species
AGCUAAUCUGCGCAGGGUUAGCCGGCCCCUAAGGCAAGGCCGAAAGGCGUAGUCGAUGGGAACCUGGUUAAUAUUCCAGGGCCUGGCGGAGGUGACGAAUGGUGUAAGACGUUCUGGCUUAUCGGAUUGUUCAGGGCGUUGAAACUGUUCCAGGAAAUAACCCCGUCAUAUAGACCGUACCCCAAACCGACACAGGUGGACUGGUAGAGCA